GGAGGAGGGGCAGACCACCUCCCCCCGAAGAUGCGGCGCUGAAGGGGGGGGUUUUGUUUCUUUGCUAGGGUUAGAGAGAGAUGCGGCACUUUGAAUAUUCGAAUUGGGAGUUUCUGAGGAAAUUCGAAGUCUUUGGGAAAUGGGUUUUCAUGAUUUUGAUGUUAAUCGAAAACCCAUUAAUUGAUGGGAUUUUGAAUUUGAAUUGAUUGGAUUGGUUCUAAGGGCCUCUCAUUGGGAGAUUUCUUGGCGGAUUUGUGUUGCCUCUGCUGCUGCUAACAGGAAAUUUCUCUACAACAUGAUGGGGAGAGAGUCGCAACCAAAGGGGGUUGUAGAGAAGAGGGACCAAGAAGGAAGGAGAAAAGGGAGAAAAGGGUCGAGAAAAGCGACUUUGUAUUAUCUUAAUUAGAUUACAUUUGUAUUUGGUUGGUCCCUCCCCUUUGGCAGCACAAAAUUAGAAGUAGACAAAGUAUCGUAACGGCUAACGUAACCGUGAUUAGAAAAUAAAAGAGAUACGGUGGCUGACGGCAUCUGGGACUGGGAAUAUGCACGCACAUAAACACAGCACAAACUUCUUGAAUUAUCGUUAACUGUAUUUGAUUAAUGGCAUGUUUACUAGUCAGGAAUUGGAAUUCUCAUCA